rnacentral:rRNA from 1 species
GAUGAACGCUGGCGGCGUGCUUAACACAUGCAAGUCGAACGGUGAACGAGGGAGCUUGCUCCCUCCGGAUCAGUGGCGAACGGGUGAGUAACACGUGAGCAAUCUGCCCUGGACUCUGGGAUAAGCGUUGGAAACGACGUCUAAUACCGGAUACGAGGCAUGGGGGCAUCCCCAACGCCUGGAAAGAACUUCGGUCCAGGAUGAGCUCGCGGCCUAUCAGGUAGUUGGUGAGGUAACGGCUCACCAAGCCUACGACGGGUAGCCGGCCUGGGAGGGUGACCGGCCGCACUGGGACUGGGACAAGGCCAAGACUCCUACGGGAGGCAGCAGUGGGGAAUAUUGCACAAUGGGCGCAAGCCUGAUGCAGCAACGCCGCGUGAGGGACGACGGCCUUCGGGUUGUAAACCUCUUUUAGCAGGGAAGAAGCGAAAGUGACGGUACCUGCAGAAAAAGCACCGGCUAACUACGUGCCAGCAGCCGCCGUAA